rnacentral:tRNA from 2 species
UCCGUGGUAGCUCAAUGGCAGAGCAUUCGGCUGUUAACCGAAGGGUUGGAGGUUCGAGCCCUCUCCACGGAGCCA